rnacentral:pre_miRNA from 1 species
CAACUACUCCCUCUGUCCCAAAUUUCUUGUCUUAGAUUUGUCUAGAUACGGAUGUAUCUAAUACUAAAAUGUGACUUGAUACAUCCAUAUCUAGACAAAUCUAAGACAAGAAUUUUGAGAUGGAGGGAGUACUUU